rnacentral:rRNA from 1 species
CUGGCGGCGUGCCUAACACAUGCAAGUCGAACGAGAAAGUGGAGCAAUCCAUGAGUACAGUGGCGUACGGGUGAGUAACACGUGACUAACCUACCCUCGAGUGGGGAAUAACUUCGGGAAACCGAGGCUAAUACCGCAUAACAUCUACGGAUCAAAUGCGCAAGCAGCUUGAGGAGGGGGUCGCGGCUGAUUAGCUAGUUGGCGGGGUAACGGCCCACCAAGGCAAUGAUCAGUAGCCGGCCUGAGAGGGCGCACGGCCACACUGGAACUGAAACACGGUCCAGACUCCUACGGGAGGCAGCAGUGGGGAAUUUUGCGCAAUGGGGGAAACCCUGACGCAGCAACGCCGCGUGGAGGAUGAAGCCCCUUGGGGUGUAAACUCCUUUCGAUCGGGACGAUUAUGACGGUACCGGAUGAAGAAGCACCGGCUAACUCUGUGCCAGCAGCCGCGGUAAUACAGAGGGUGCAAGCGUUGUUCGGAAUUAUUGGGCGUAAAGGGUGCGUAGGCGGUGCGGUAAGUCUUCUGUGAAACCUCCGGGCUUAACUCGGAGCCUGCAGGGGAAACUGCCGUGCUGGAGU